AAUCAACGCUGGCGGCGUGCCUCAGACAUGCAAGUCGAACGCGAAAGAGGGCUUCGGCCCUUGAGUAGAGUGGCGCACGGGUGAGUAACACGUGGGUAAUUUACCUUGGGUGGGAAUAACAGUCGGAAACGGCUGCUAAUACCGCAUAAUGCAGCGGCUCCACAUGGAGACAGCUGUUAAAGCGGGGAGCGAGCGAACUCGCCCUCGCGCCUGAAGAGAAGGCCCGCGGCAGAUUAGC
rnacentral:rRNA from 1 species